AGAGACACCAGCAAAACAACUCAGCAACUUGGGGACUUUGCUAAGCAGAUAGACUAACAUACUCUGAACAGCCAGUUCUCAUUGGAUCACGAAGAGGAGGGGCAAUCUAGACAUUCCUCUUAAAGAGACAGAUUAUACAACAUAUGAGGAAAUGAUGACCUUGGCUAGAGAACAAAUAUUUGCCUGACAAACACAUUUCUCUGAUAUCUAGGUAAACAAACAUCAGUGACAUGGGGCUGAAGAUGAAACUUGAAUGUUUCCUCUCGUUGAAAAUAUGCAUUUUUAAGGAUAAGAAGUGUUUAGGGAGAAGUUCAGGAACAAUUUAAACACAGUAUCUAACAUAUAACAUCCAGAAAAUAAGGAAUUUCAGUCUACAUGGUUUCGUGUUAUAAUGUAAGGAGCAAUAAAAGAAAAUGGGUACAGACUUCUUACUACACAUGGGAAAUUAUGGAAUUACACUUUCAUAUGAUUUUUGAAAACAUCUACAAGAUACGAAAUGUCUUUGAUUUGGGACUGUGCCUGCGGUAGGGUGGAAUUUCCAUUUUUGUGUGUCUUCUUCAUUGUCUAAUCUGAAAAUUCAAAUACUUUUAAACACAAAAUCCACUGGUUGUAUGAAUGAGACCAUUUAAAGAGUUCAUGAUACAAUUAAUAUUGUUAUAUAAUUGUGCAUUAUGGAAUUAAAUGGCGUGGUUUUGAGACAUUUUAUCCAAAUGGGCCAUGCACACCACUGGCUCUGAUACUGCAAAUACUUAUUGCUGCCUUGUGUAUGAAAGGCUUCCUUUGAGCCUCCCAUUUUCUUCUUGAGUAUUCCCAAAUUACUACAUGCCUACAGACAUCGGCCUCUGGUGAAAGAAUGCUGCCCUUGUUUCAGUCCCCAUCUCUGUACCCAAAUUUUCAAUUAUUUUUUACAGAAUGAAGUUGCACAAGACCUUUGAACUCCCAUCAGUGAUUCCAGCGGAUAAAAAGCAC